GCAAGUCGAACGGAAACGAUGGGAGCUUGCUCCCAGGCGUCGAGUGGCGGACGGGUGAGUAAUACUUAGGAAUCUGCCCAUUAGUGGGGGACAACUCGAGGAAACUCGAGCUAAUACCGCAUACUCCCUACGGGGGAAAGCAGGGGAUCUUCGGACCUUGCACUAUUGGAUGAGCCUAUGUCAGAUUAGCUUGUUGGUGAGGUAAUGGCCUACCAAGGCGACGAUCUGUAGCUGGUCUGAGAGGACGAUC
rnacentral:rRNA from 1 species